rnacentral:rRNA from 1 species
CCUACGGGAGGCAGCAGUGGGGAAUAUUGCACAAUGGGGGGAACCCUGAUGCAGCGACGCCGCGUGAGUGAAGAAGUAUUUCGGUAUGUAAAGCUCUAUCAGCAGGGAAGAAAAUGACGGUACCUGACUAAGAAGCCCCGGCUAACUACGUGCCAGCAGCCGCGGUAAUACGUAGGGGGCAAGCGUUAUCCGGAUUUACUGGGUGUAAAGGGAGCGCAGACGGCUGUGCAAGUCUGGAGUGAAAGGGGGGGGCCCAACCCCCGGACUGCUCUGGAAACUGUAAAGCUGGAGUGCAGGAGAGGUAAGCGGAAUUCCUAGUGUAGCGGUGAAAUGCGUAGAUAUUAGGAGGAACACCAGUGGCGAAGGCGGCUUACUGGACUGCAACUGACGUUGAGGCUCGAAAGCGUGGGGAGCAAACAGGAGUAGAUACCCUUGUAGUC